rnacentral:rRNA from 1 species
UGCAAGUCGGACGAGAAAGCGGGGGCAACCCUGCAAGUACAGUGGCAGACGGGUGAGUAACACGUGAACAAUCUACCCUCGAGUGGGGGAUAACCCCGCGAAAGCGGGGCUAAUACCGCAUAACAUCCUGUUUUCGCAUGGAGAUGGGAUCAAAGGCGAAAGUUGCUUGAGGAGGAGUUCGCGGCUGAUUAGCUAGUUGGUGAGGUAACGGCCCACCAAGGCAACGAUCAGUAGCCGGACUGAGAGGGCGAACGGCCACACUGGAACUGAGACACGGUCCAGACUCCUACGGGAGGCAGCAGUGGGGAAUUUUGCGCAAUGGGCGAAAGCCUGACGCAGCAACGCCGCGUGGAGGAUGAAGGUCCUCGGAUCGUAAACUCCUGUCAGUGGGGACGAAAUCCCGCAAGGGACUGACUGUACCCGCUGAGGAAGCCACGGCUAACUCCGUGCCAGCAGCCGCGGUAAUACGGAGGUGGCAAGCGUUGUUCGGAAUUACUGGGCGUAAAGGGCGCGUAGGCGGCAUUUCAAGUCAGAUGUGAAAGCCCCGGGCUUAACUCGGGAAUUGCAUCUGAAACUGCUUUGCUUGAGUCCUGGAGGGGGUAGUGGAAUUCCCAGUGUAGCGGUGAAAUGCGUAGAUAUUGGGAGGAACACCGGUGGCGAAGGCGGCUACCUGGACAGUGACUGACGCUGAGGCGCGAAAGCUAGGGGAGCAAACGGGAUUAGAUACCCCGGUAGUCCUAGCCGUAAACGAUGGGCACUUGGUGUCGGGGGUAUUGAGUCCCCCGGUGCCGGAGUUAACACGUUAAGUGCCCCGCCUGGGGAGUACGGUCGCAAGACUGAAACUCAAAGGAAUUGACGGGGGCCCCACAAGCGG